ACAUUACGACAGGGGAGCGUCCGAUCCGGGACCGCGGCAAGCCGCGCGCCGGGCGGGACGCUGAGAGUGCGGCCCACCGCAGACCCUCGAACCUGCUCCGGUUAGUACCGGCGAAGGGAGUCGAGUUCUCAGGGAU
rnacentral:ncRNA from 2 species